AUUUUUCACACAAUUUCUUUAACAGAAGGUAAUUUUACAAAACCAUUUUUAGCGGUUAAUUAAAACCUUUUACACAACCUUUAAAUCAUAAAUUUAAAACACAAAUUCAAUUUCGAAUUGGCAAAUUUCAAAUAGCAACACAUAUAAUGAAAUAAAAUACGAAUUUGGGUUUAAGUUAGGAUAAAAGUUAAUAGAGAAAUUCAAAUAUUUUUACGUAAUUAAUAUGUAUGAGUAUAUUUAAUAAUAGGAUAAGAAAAAUGUCAUAUAAAUAAAAUUUCAUACAUAUUUAUUAAAUAUCCGUCAAGAAAAUUUGUAAAAGGCGAUAAAGAGAUUUAUUAAUGCUUAAAAAAUUAAUUUCAAAAAAUAACUUCCGAUACAAGUGAGGGAAAACUAUUUAAAUGAUUAUUUGUGUAAAUAUUAAAUGUACAUUAUAAGUUUAGAUUUAUAUUAAAAUUCGAAUAAUU
rnacentral:lncRNA from 1 species